rnacentral:rRNA from 1 species
CCUCAGAAAGCCAAUCUCAGUUCGGAUGUAGGCUGCAACUCGCCUACAUGAAGUUGGAAUCGCUAGUAAUCGCGAAUCAGAAUGUCGCGGUGAAUACGUUCCCGGGUCUUGUACACACCGCCCGUCACACCACGAGAGUUUACAACACCCGAAGUCAGUGGCCUAACCGCAAGGAGGGAGCUGCCUAAGGUGGGUAGAUGAUUGGGGUGAAGUCGUAACAAGGUAUC